rnacentral:rRNA from 1 species
UGGGAGCACGCUUAGGCGUGUGACUGCGUACCUUUUGUAUAAUGGGUCAGCGACUUAUAUUCUGUAGCAAGGUUAACCGAAUAGGGGAGCCGAAGGGAAACCGAGUCUUAACUGGGCGUUAAGUUGCAGGGUAUAGACCCGAAACCCGGUGAUCUAGCCAUGGGCAGGUUGAAGGUUGGGUAACACUAACUGGAGGACCGAACCGACUAAUGUUGAAAAAUUAGCGGAUGACUUGUGGCUGGGGGUGAAAGGCCAAUCAAACCGGGAGAUAGCUGGUUCUCCCCGAAAGCUAUUUAGGUAGCGCCUCGUGAAUUCAUCUCCGGGGGUAGAGCACUGUUUCGGCAAGGGGGUCAUCCCGACUUACCAACCCGAUGCAAACUGCGAAUACCGGAGAAUGUUAUCACGGGAGACACACGGCGGGUGCUAACGUCCGUCGUGAAGAGGGAAACAACCCAGACCGCCAGCUAAGGUCCCAAAGUCAUGGUUAAGUGGGAAACGAUGUGGGAAGGCCCAGACAGCCAGGAUGUUGGCUUAGAAGCAGCCAUCAUUUAAAGAAAGCGUAAUAGCUCACUGGUCGAGUCGGCCUGCGCGGAAGAUGUAACGGGGCUAAACCAUGCACCGAAGCUGCGGCAGCGACGCUUAUGCGUUGUUGGGUA